AAGCAGAGGCUUUAACCCACUGAGCCACCCAGGCGCCCCCUUAAAGAAACGUUUUAGAAGGUUGUCCCCAGCCUGGAUCCCAAAAAUGCCAUGCAGGAGGUUCUUCUUUGGAAUUCCCUUCUUGUUCACAUGAGCAUGGGGAAUGCUGCAGAGUGAUUGACAAGGGAAGGAGCAAGGACGGAGGGAGUGAGAGAGAGAGGGAGGGAGGAAAGGUGGCUAAGAGAUUCCAUUCUGUCCAUUCAUUCACUCAGGCUUGAUUUCAGAACACACUGUGUGCCAGUCACCCCAGUAGGUAGGGGCCAGGCAUAGAGCAGCACCCAGGACAGAGGCCUUUCUCCCAAGAAGCCUAUUGACGAGAUGGGGAGGCAGACAAUGGAUGUAAAUAGACAAACAGCAAGGAUCUGCUUAAGUUCUGUGUCAGGAUAGUCACAGAGGGUUGUGGGAGUUCAAAGGGAGGGCAUUCAGUUCCCCCGAAGCUUUCUGAAGGGUGACAUUAACCCUUGUCAUGUGUGGGAGUGGGAGAUGGACGGGGAAACUGUAUAAACAGUUUCUGUGUAUACAGAAGCCUGGAGAAAAAUGACUGGCAACCCUGGCAAUUUCAAGCUGCGUGAGUGUGGCUGGAAAAGAGCAUGGAGUAGAGAGUGACCGGUCAGGAGGUUGGUGGUCAGUCUGUAGCCCACGAAGAGCUUGGUAAGAGGCCAUGUGAAGAAUUUAGGACGCAGUCCUGAGAGUAUGGAGGGCCAUAUGGGUUUGUUACCAGGGAGUGAUUACAUGAGCAGAGAGCAGUGUCAUAAGACCCUCUAACUGCAUUAGGUGUCCAUGGGUGGCGGGGGAGGAGGGAAGACAGGAGCCUGGUAUGAAGGAGGAGACUGGCCUGGACUGAGUGGUGACCUGGGAAUGAAGAGAAUCCAGGGACCCAUCCCUUGUCCUCAGUGGGAUCCUUGGCGAGGGUUCCAUACAGUCAUGGCAGGGAAGAAUAGAAGGCUUCAACCAAGCAACCGGCUGUGUAACAGAAACAGGUUUUCUGCUUAGAGAAACUUUGAGGGAGGAAGGGGAAACCUCUGCCGCGGGGUCCUAGAGAGCUCAGGAAGGUAAGGAGAGGCUUGCCCCAAACUCUGGAGGAGAACGGGAAGGUCAUGGGCACCCGGCAUGGACUUGGAAACAGUCAGGAGUGGCCUGAUUCCAAUGCACCAGACUCAGGGCUCAACGGGCAAGGGUGGAAUCCAGAGUACAAAGACUAGAGGAAAAGAAGGUUUUGGAGAGCACAAUGGGGUUCAUUCAUGAACUUACCAGGUUGCUCCUGUUACCACAGUAACAUGUCAAGGGUUUUGUGGAUCUGGGAGAAUUUAAAAAAAAAAAAAAUCCCUGAGUUACAGUACUCAAAGCAAAUUAGGUCAGUGUUACGAGUUAUUAAUUUUAAUGCAUUAAGAAAAGUGUGCAGGGGGGAGUGAAGGGUUUUAUUUUUUUUCAAACACAGCAAAUGGGAAGCAGCAAAAAGUACAACAAUAAUUACGCUGAAAGCAAAGUGAAGUGUUCCAUAAAAUGUAAGAAAUGAAGAAAUUACACCCCCCUUCUUCCUCCUUCCUCGAGCGUGGUUUGGAGUCGGUGUGGGAGGUGGGUGGCUCUCCCACGGCCUUCUGAUGCAAUUACGAGUUCUCAUUUCACUUCUUUGUGCUCUGCCGCGAGGUGUUACUUAAAGCCGAGCUGAAGUUCAGUGCCAGAAAGAAAGCACAGGGGGUGCGUUUUUUUGGGCUGGGUUAUGUUGAGUGUGAAAUCACUCAUAGGCAAAUGUGCAGUCUGACGAAGGGAAAUUGGAAGCCGUGAAUAGAUUCUCCAGGAACUUUCGUGCCCACGGGGACGCCGGCACAUGAUAAGCAUCGGGUCCUACGUCGGGUGCUGGGAGAAAGCUGCCUGAAGGAUGUAAGCAAGAGAGUUAGAAGAUUUAAUUUGUGAUUUGAAAGGUCCUUCUCUACCUUGAGAAGAAUGGUUGAGCCAGAAGAGGAAGCUAAAGCAGGAAAUCAGUUGGAUGGAUUCUUCCAGGUGAGAGAUAUGGUGAUCUGAGCUAGAAAGUGGAGAAGGAGCAGAGGGUAGAGUCAGAAGAUGAAUAACCCGCCAGCCACAAAACUACUUAAUGAUUACUGACUGUCUAUAAGGCACUAUGAUAGAUGCUGGGAAUAGACAGCAAUAUUUAUGAGUAUGAUAAAAGAAAGCAGUGAUGGGUCAUAGGAAAAAGAAGAAGACAUUGACCACUGGGUGAACAGAAUAGCCCCUCAUGGUGAUUGAGAUCAUGUGAGGAAGAGAGCGUUUGGGGGGGGCAAAGCUCUGAGUUUCAUUUUGGACACGUUGAGGUGGAGUUGCUGAUGGGACCUCUAGUUAGAGAUGUCCGGGAAAAAAUUUGGGCUUGUGGGGCUGAAGCUCAAGAGAGGAACCUUCUCUGGGAUUAUGGAAAGAGCCUUGGCAGAAUUCUUAGUGGAUGCCAACAUUUAAGGAUGGGGUUAAAAAAAAGGGGGGGUUCACAAGGCAGAUGGGGAAGAGAUGUCCACAAAAGUAAGAAGAAAGCCAGGAAAGGAUGCUGUCCUAGAAACCCAGGCAAGAAUGUUUCAGUGAGAGAGAAAUGACCCUAGUGAUAUUGAGACAACCAGUGGCCGUUGGAAUUCAGGGCAAUGAGGUCAUUAAACCACAGAGAAAGACAUAUAGGAGGCAGAGUAGACAUGGACACUGGAACACUGUGGGCUGAGGAAGGAGUGGCAGUGAGAAAUCGGUCCCUUAAAGGUAUACAACCCUUUCAAGACAUCCUGCAGUAACUAAAGAGGAGCCAAUGGGAAGUGGCUGCAGGAAUCCAGAGUGAAGGGGGAGUUGUUGCUGCUGCCCUGUUUUGAAGAUGGGAGAGAUUUCAUGUAUGUUAAUCCUAUGGAGAAGAAGGAGAGGGGGUAAAAUUGACAGGACAAGUUCCCUUGAACUUGAGUUGAGGGAAAGAGAAUCCACAGCAGGGAUGGAGGGAUUAGCCUUAUCUGGACAGUGGUACACAUUUCUCAUGUAACAGGAGGGAAGGUGGGAAGGAUUGGGAUGGGUAAUAUCAAGAUGAUGGGUUUGGAUACAAGACAUUGAGAAAACACUUACCUGUUGACAUCUGCUUUCCCCGGAAAGUAGAGUUUGAGAAGAGUGGAGAAGGUUUGUAUGAGCCUUUGUGGGGAAUGGCAGAUCUGAUCAUAGAAGCUCAGAGGUGUUGGAGAUGGUGUUGUGGUUGAGGGGUGCAGUAGAGGUUUGUAGAUCAUCCAUUAAAGUGGGGCCAAUCUGAGCAUUGGCGUCAUUACAUCCAGCUCUUCUCAACUUCCCAGAAUUAGGCACAGAGAAGAUCAUCAAGGGAUCUGGGGUUGGGGUUUUCUAGGAAGGUAAGAUGUAAGGACGAGUGGUCAGUGCAGUGGUUGAAGUAAUGGACAACAGGAUCUGAGCUGGAUAAGGAAGAAAGUGAAUGUGCAGAGCUUUAUAGGUUAGGGAGAAAGUAGAGGCCACAGAGUGGUGACCAAGAACACAUCUGUCUUAAAACUUAUU